rnacentral:rRNA from 1 species
AAAAACACUCGAGGGGAUCGCACUGUCGAGGUGCGAUUGUCGACGAUGCGAUUCCGGGACUCGCAGGCGCCCGUCCCCCGCGAGGGG